AAACUGUGGGUGUCUGGGGACAGGCUGUAGCUGAACAUGGUCCUCACUAUUGCUCCUACCUUGUAGCUGACAAGUACUGCCCCCUGCUGAUUAAGGAAGGCGGGAUGCCCCUGCUGAGGGACUUGAUCAAGAUGGUUACUGCCCGGCAGGAAACCAAGGAGAUGGCCCGCAAGGUGAUUGAGCACUGCAGUAACUUUAGAGAGGAGAACAUGGACACGUCCAGAUAGAGGCCACACAGCUCGGACCACAGGCCGGGAGGAAGCGCUGGAGGUCUAGUGGGCAGGUCCCUUGCGGAGCCUCCCACAGGGUGAAGAGACAGCGAGGACUUUUGCACAGCCGACGCGGUUCCUUAAUGUUAGUGAGAUAUAUAUAUUAUAUAUAUAUUAUUAUUUUUUUUUUGGUUAGGAAGUGUGAAGUUUUGUGUGUAUGACUUCUCCCGAGUCUUUGCAGCUCCUUGCCACUCUCAUCCACCUCCAAGCUUUCGUUGCUGCCAUGUUCCCUCCUGCCCCAGCUGGGCUUGCCUCUAAUGCUGUGAGUGCCUGGUCCCUUCCCAGUGAGCUCAGACCCUGGCCUGCCUUCUGUCUGUUGUGGGCGGAGCUGGCCCUUACCAGGCUGCUCGACAUCCUUGAUCCCCGCCUGAGUGCCCUGUGCAGGCUCCCAGGUGAGUGAGGCUGCUGAGGUCUGGGAUUAAGUCCAGCCCUACUGGGUUUCCCAGCUUUGGUGCUCCAGGCUGUGAGCCAUCUGGGGCCAAAAGAGUAAGCUGUUCCCAGCCUUAGACCAAGCGGCUCCUGUCCCGAGGACCCUGGAGAAGCAUGGCUCUGUUGGCCACUGCUCUCUGGCCAGGCCUGUCUGUGGCCAUGCUGCUAUGGAGGCUGCCUCAAGUCUCCCUCAGGCCCCAGGCUUUUGAAGGUUCCAGCCCAGAGAUGGCCAGAACUCAGGGGCAAUUCCACUGCCCCUUCUGCCAAACAUGCCCCAGGCCACCUCAACUCUGGCAGCUGGCACCUUCCGGGACCAGGGUCUUGCUCCUUGUUCUGUAGCCCUCAUCUACCCACAGCACCCCAGUGCCCAGGCACUCCCACCAGCAGCAGAGCUGAGCCCACCCGCUGUCCAGAAGAUACUACAGCUCCCUCCAAGGCAGGAGUUCCCCACUCCAGCCUCACAGUGGCAGCAGGAAACCACCUUCAGACCAGCAUGUGGACAGUCCUCUGUCCCUCCAGCCCAGUCAGGCUGCCCUGAGAAGCUGCACUGUGGUGUAGGCUCUCGGGGCAUCCGUGCACCCAUCAUUGUGUCUCUGCAUUGCCUUUCAUUGGUACAGGUACUCAGGAGACCUGUGCACAGCAGGCGUAGGGAGCAAAGCUGGCCCCGGAGGCAGCCUCUGGUGUGGCUUUUUCUGCCCUCUUUCUUCUCUGUGCCUGUUUGUUUCCGGGCUUACCUGCCUACAGUCAGAAGGGGCCCAGCUGUUCACAGGACUCGGGGAGAGGCAACUGACCUUCCCAGAGGAAACUUUCCCUGGCAGGUGGCUUCCCCCAUGCAGCACUUGGGCAACCUCAGCCUGCCCUUUCCAUCCCACGCCCUCUGGCACUGCCAGGCCCUGAGCAGAGCUGUCAUCCACUGCUUUACCACCUGGGUCUGGGGAAAUGUCUGUACUUCAGGAUGUCACAGAAAUACAUUUUGUGCAAAGUGCAAAA
rnacentral:lncRNA from 1 species